AACGAACGCUGGCGGCGCGCUUAACACAUGCAAGUCGAACGAGAAGGCGUAGCAAUACGCUUGUACAGUGGCGAACGGGUGAGUAAUACGUGGGCGACCUACCCUCGAGUGGGGAAUAACCCGCCGAAAGGCGGGCUAAUGCCGCGUACGCUUCCAUCUUUAUGGAGGUGGAAGGAAAGCCGUGCCGUGGGCACGGCGCUCAAGGAUGGGCUCACGUCCUAUCAGCUUGUUGGAGGGUAACGGCCUACCAAGGCUCCGACGGGUAGCUGGUCUGAGAGGACGAUCAGCCACACUGGCACUGCGACACGGGCCAGACUCCUACGGGAGGCAGCAGUGAGGAAUAUUGCGCAAUGGGCGAAAGCCUGACGCAGCGACGCCGCGUGGGGGAUGAAGGUCUUCGGAUUGUAAACCCCUUUCGGGAGGGAAGAUGGGACGGGCAACCGUUCGGACGGUACCUCCAGAAGCAGCCACGGCUAACUUCGUGCCAGCAGCCGCGGU
rnacentral:rRNA from 1 species